rnacentral:rRNA from 1 species
AACGAACGCUGGCGGCAUGCCUAACACAUGCAAGUCGAACGGGAUCCUGGUUUCGGCCAGGUGAGAGUGGCGGACGGGUGAGUAACGCGUGGGAACCUGCCCAGUGGUGGGGGAUAACUGCGGGAAACUGCAGCUAAUACCGCAUGAGCCCGAAAGGGGAAAGAUUGAUCGCCAUUGGAGGGGCCCGCGUUCGAUUAGGUAGUUGGUGAGGUAACGGCUCACCAAGCCUUCGAUCGANAGCUGGUCUGAGAGGAUGAUCAGCCACACUGGGACUGAGAUACGGCCCAGACUCCUACGGGAGGCAGCAGUGGGGAAUAUUGGACAAUGGGCGCAAGCCUGAUCCAGCCAUGCCGCGUGGAUGAUGAAGGCCUUAGGGUUGUAAAAUCUUUCGUUGGGGACGAUAAUGACGGUACCCAAAGAAGAAGCUCCGGCUAACUUCGUGCCAGCAGCCGCCG